AACGAACGCUGGCGGCAGGCCUUACACAUGCAAGUCGAACGGUAACGCGGGGCAACCUGGCGACGAGUGGCGAACGGGUGAGUAAUGUAUCGGAACGUGCCCAGUAGUGGGGGAUAGCCCGGCGAAAGCCGGAUUAAUACCGCAUACGACCUAAGGGUGAAAGCGGGGGAUCGCAAGACCUUGCGCUAUUGGAGCGGCCGAUAUCAGAUUAGCUAGUUGGUGGGGUAAAAGCCUACCAAGGCGACGAUCUGUAGCUGGUCUGAGAGGACGACCAGCCACACUGGGACUGAGACACGGCCCAGACUCCUACGGGAGGCAGCAGUGGGGAAGUUUGGACAAUGGGCGCAAGCCUGAUCCAGCCAUGCCGCGUGCGGGAAGAAGGCCUUCGGGUUGUAAUCCGCUUUUGUCAGGGAAGAAAAGCCUCGAACUAAUACUUUGGGGUAAUGACGGUACCUGAAGAAUAAGCACCGGCUAACUACGUGCCAGCCGCCGCGGUAACAC
rnacentral:rRNA from 1 species